UACGUAGGGCGCAAGCGUUGUCCGGAAUUACUGGGCGUAAAGGGCGCGUAGGCGGUCUGUUAAGUUCGGUGUGAAAGCCCCCGGCUCACCUGGGGAACUGCGCCGGAAACCGACAGACUCGAGUACCGGAGAGGAGGGUGGAAUUCCUGGUCGUAGCGGUGAAAUGCGUAGAUAUCAGGAGGAACACCGGUGGCGAAGGCGGCCCUCUGGACGGAUACUGACGCUGAGGCGCGAAAGCGUGGGGAUCAAACAGG
rnacentral:rRNA from 1 species